ACGAACGCUGGCGGCGUGCUUAACACAUGCAAGUCGAACGGAAAGGCCUUUUCGGAGGUACUCGAGUGGCGAACGGGUGAGUAACACGUGGGUGAUCUGCCCCGCACCCUGGGAUAAGCCUGGGAAACUGGGUCUAAUACCUGAUAGGACCGCACUUUAGUGUGUGUGGUGGAAAGUUUUUUCGGUGUAGGAUGAGCCCGCGGCCUAUCAGCUUGUUGGUGGGGUAAUGGCCUACCAAGGCGGCGACGGGUAGCCGGACUGAGGAGUUGGUCGGCCACAUUGGGACUGAGAGACGGCCCAGACUCCUACGGGAGGCAGCAGUGGGGAAUAUUGCACAAUGGGCGCGAGCCUGAUGCAGCGACGCCGCGUGGGGGAUGACGGCCUUCGGGUUGUAAACUCCUUUCGCCAGGGACGAAGCGUUUUGUGACGGUACCUGGCGAGGAAGCACCGGCUAACUACGUG
rnacentral:rRNA from 1 species